UGGGGAAUAUUGGUCAAUGGGCGCAAGCCUGAACCAGCCAUCCCGCGUGAAGGAUGAAGGCCCUAUGGGUCGUAAACUUCUUUUAUACACCAAGAAAAGCAGGACGUGUCCUGCCUCGACGGAAGUGUAUGAAUAAGCAUCGGCUACCUCCGUGCCAGCAGCCGCGGUAAUACGGAGGAUGCAACCGUUAUCCGGAUUCAUUGGGUGUAAAGGGUGCGUAGGCGGCUUUUUAAGUCAGUGGUGAAAUCUUGCCGCUUAACCGUAGAAUUGCCAUUGAGACUGAUAAGCUUGAGUACAGCUGAGGGAGGCGGAAUGUGUAGUGUAGCGGUGAAAUGCUUAGAUAUUACACAGAACACCGAUUGCGAAGGCAGCUUACUAAGCUGUUACUGCCGCUGAUGCACGAAAGCGUGGGGAGCGAACA
rnacentral:rRNA from 1 species